GUGGGGAAUAUUGGACAAUGGGCGCAAGCCUGAUCCAGCCAUGCCGCGUGAGUGAUGAAGGCCUUAGGGUUGUAAAGCUCUUUUGUCCGGGAAGAUAAUGACUGUACCGGAAGAAUAAGCCCCGGCUAACUUCGUGCCAGCAGCCGCGGUAAUACGAAGGGGGCUAGCGUUGUUCGGAAUCACUGGGCGUAAAGCGCACGUAGGCGGACCAUUAAGUCAGGGGUGAAAGCCUGGAGCUCAACUCCAGAACUGCCUUUGAUACUGAUGGUCUCGAGUAUGGAAGAGGUUGGUGGAACUGCGAGUGUAGAGGUGAAAUUCGUAGAUAUUCACAAGAACACCGGUGGCGAAGGCGGCCAACUGGUCCAUUACUGACGCUGAGGUGCGAAAGCGUGGGGAGCAAACAGGAUUAGAAACCCAGUAGUCC
rnacentral:rRNA from 1 species